rnacentral:rRNA from 1 species
CUUAUACUUGCAGUCGAGCGGACAGAUGGGAGCUUGCUCCCUGAUGUUAGCGGCGGACGGGUGAGUAACACGUGGGUAACCUGCCUGUAAGACUGGGAUAACUCCGGGAAACCGGGGCUAAUACCGGAUGGUUGUUUGAACCGCAUGGUUCAGACAUAAAAGGUGGCUUCGGCUACCACUUACAGAUGGACCCGCGGCGCAUUAGCUAGUUGGUGAGGUAACGGCUCACCAAGGCAACGAUGCGUAGCCAACCUGAGAGGGUGAUCGGCCACACUGGGACUGAGACACGGCCCAAACUCCUACGGGAGGCAGCAGUAGGGAAUCUUCCGCAAUGGACGAAAGUCUGACGGAGCAACGCCGCGUGAGUGAUGAAGGUUUUCGGAUCGUAAAGCUCUGUUGUUAGGGAAGAACAAGUGCCGUUCAAAUAGGGCGGCACCUUGACGGUACCUAACCAGAAAGCCACGGCUAACUACGUGCCAGCAGCCGCGGUAAUACGUAGGUGGCAAGCGUUGUCCGGAAUUAUUGGGCGUAAAGGGCUCGCAGGCGGUUUCUUAAGUCUGAUGUGAAA